CCGUUGGUGAACCAGCGGAGGGAUCAUUACAGGAACUCGCAAGACUCCUAACCCACUGUGAACCUACCCGACGUUGCCUCGGCGGGCGCCCGGCCUCGCGCCGGGCACCAAGCCCGCCUGCGGCCCCCUACUCUGUCUCUGCAGCGUUGUGUCUCCGAGUAUACCAAAACAAGUCAAAACUUUCAACAACGGAUCUCUUGCCUCUAGCAUCGAUGAAGAACGCCGCAGACGGACAAGCCCACGUCCGAACCCCAGUCACUUCGUACGAUCUCGUAU
rnacentral:misc_RNA from 1 species